AACGAACGCUGGCGGCAUGCCUAACACAUGCAAGUCGAACGAGACCUUCGGGUCUAGUGGCGCACGGGUGCGUAACGCGUGGGAACCUGCCCUUAGGUUCGGAAUAACUCCCCGAAAGGGGUGCUAAUACCGGAUAAUGUCUUCGGACCAAAGAUUUAUCGCCUUUGGAUGGGCCCGCGUUGGAUUAGCUAGUUGGUAGGGUAAAAGCCUACCAAGGCGACGAUCCAUAGCUGGUCUGAGAGGAUGAUCAGCCACACUGGGACUGAGACACGGCCCAGACUUCUGAGGGAAGCAGCAGGGGGGAAUAAUGGAAAAUGGGCGAAAGCCUGAUCCAGCAAUGCCGCGUGAGUGAUGAAGGCCUUAGGGUUGUAAAGCUCUUUUACCCGGGAUGAUAAUGACAGUACCGGGAGAAUAAGCUCCGGCUAACUCCGUG
rnacentral:rRNA from 1 species